CAUUUCCCCUCCUUGUGCUUUUCUCUCCUGUGCCACGUGAAGAACCUUGCUUCCUCUUUGCCUUCCACCAUGAUUACUCUUACCAGUUGUUUUAAUUGCUAAGACAACCCAGUUCUGCAUGAGCUACAGCCAACUUCACAAAGCUUCAGGUGCCUGGAUGUUGAGGGGCAAAUAGGACUGUUCACUGAAGGAGCUGGAGAAUGGAAGAGAAGGUUGUGUCAGAUAGAAAUAACAGAAGCUUUCUGAAAUGAAAACAGAAAUGUUACAACUUGCACCACAGUACUGGACUGAAACGAAGAUGUAACACAGCCAUAAUAAUUUAAAUUAAUAGCAAAUAAAUAAAGAAAAAAAAGAACUUCAUUGUGAGGACCAUAGUCAUGGGAUAGCUCUGUCUUUUCGGGGAAAGUGGAGUAGAGGGACAGAGUCACCCCAGGAGAAAAAAUGCUUAAAUUAAGACUCCCUGAGAGAUUGAAUAAGAGUAUGAUUAGUUCAGCCUUGCUUUCAUCCUCCACUUCCCCCUCCCACUGUAGACUUCAGUUUUAAUAAUGAUUAAAGAAUAAUGCCUGAAUCCCA
rnacentral:lncRNA from 1 species